UACGUAGGGGGCAAGCGUUGUCCGGAAUCAUUGGGCGUAAAGAGCGUGUAGGCGGCCCGAUAAGUCCGCCGUGAAAGUCCAGGGCUCAACCCUGGAAUGCCGGUGGAAACUGUCGGGCUGGAGUCCGGAAGAGGCGAGUGGAAUUCCUGGUGUAGCGGUGAAAUGCGCAGAUAUCAGGAGGAACACCGAUGGCGAAGGCAGCUCGCUGGGACGUGACUGACGCUGAGACGCGAAAGCGUGGGGAGCAAACAGG
rnacentral:rRNA from 1 species